CCACAUUGGGACUGAGACACGGCCCAAACUCCUACGGGAGGCAGCAGUGGGGAAUAUUGGACAAUGGGCGCAAGCCUGAUCCAGCAAUGCCGCGUGGGUGAAGAAGGUCUUCGGAUUGUAAAGCCCUUUCGACGGGGACGAUGAUGACGGUACCCGUAGAAGAAGCCCCGGCUAACUUCGUGCCAGCAGCCGCGGUAAUACGAAGGGGGCUAGCGUUGCUCGGAAUGACUGGGCGUAAAGGGCGCGUAGGCGGUUUGAACAGUUGGGCGUGAAAUUCCAGGGCUUAACCUUGGGACUGCGUUCAAUACGUUUAGACUUGAGUUCGGAAGAGGGUCGUGGAAUUCCCAGUGUAGAGGUGAAAUUCGUAGAUAUUGGGAAGAACACCGGUGGCGAAGGCGGCGACCUGGUCCGAAACUGACGCUGAGGCGCGAAAGCGUGGGGAGCAAACAGGAUUAGAUACCCUGGUAGUCCACGCUGUAAACGAUGUGCGCUGGAUGUUGGGUGACCUAGUCACUCAGUGUCGUAGCUAACGCGAUAAGCGCACCGCCUGGGGAGUACGGCCGCAA
rnacentral:rRNA from 1 species